rnacentral:rRNA from 1 species
GGGCUACCCGCUGAGUUUAAGCAUAUCAAUAAAGCGGAGGA